UCUUCUGGGAGGGCAGAAGUUUCUGUUUCCUGCUCAGUGGUGCUGCCAUCAUUGUCCCACCUGUCUCUGAGCAGACUUGAAAGGGCUUACAGGUGUGGUGUGUGCUCACUGCCUUGCUCAGGAGGUUGCAGAUGCAUUUUUAAUGCGACAGCUUCAAAAGUUCACAUGGCGGGAGGCACAAAAAUUCACCGUCUUGGAGAGAUCUUAAGAAAAACAAUGCCAUUUCACUCGCCCCGGAAAAUUUCACCCGAACACUUGAGAUCGCUGAAGUACAUCAAAAGUAGGAUCAUGCAUAGUUAUAUUACUGAUCCAAAUAACAUGU